UACGGAGGAUCCGAGCGUUAUCCGGAUUUAUUGGGUGUAAAGGGUGCGUAGGCGGAUUGUCAAGUCAGCUGUUAAAGUUUACGGCUCAACCGUGUAAUUGCAGUUGAAACUGUUGGACUUGAGUAUACAUGAGGUGGGCGGAAUUUGUGGUGUAGCGGUGAAAUGCUUAGAUAUCAGAAAGAACUCCAAUUGCGAAGGCAGCUCACUGGGGUGUAACUGACACUGAUGCACGAAGGUGUGGGUAUCAAACAGG
rnacentral:rRNA from 1 species